rnacentral:rRNA from 1 species
GGAUCAAUUUGCUGGUCGAGACCUCUGGUACGUACUGGUAUUAUUGAUUUCUUUCAUUCUGAUAAAUCAUUGAUGUCAUUAAUUUGGUGCGCUGGGGAAGCAGGACUGUUACCUUGAAAAAAUUAGAGUGCUUAAAGCAGGUUAUCGCCUGAAUACAUUAGCAUGGAAUAAUGAAAUAGGACGGCAUGGUUCUAUUUUGUUGGUUUCUAGGAUCACCGUA